UACAGAGGGUGCAAGCGUUGUUCGGAAUUAUUGGGCGUAAAGCGCGUGUAGGCGGCUUUGCAAGUCGGGUGUGAAAGCCCUCGGCUCAACCGAGGAAGUGCGCCCGAAACUGCAGAGCUUGAGUACCGGAGAGGAUGGCGGAAUUCCCCAAGUAGAGGUGAAAUUCGUAGAUAUGCGGAGGAACACCGAUGGCGAAGGCAAUCCCCUGGGCCUGUACUGACGCUGAGGCGCGAAAGCUAGGGUAGCAAACGGG
rnacentral:rRNA from 1 species